CAGCAGCCACGGUAAUACGGAGGGUGCAAGCGUUAUCCGGAUUUAUUGGGUUUAAAGGGUCCGUAGGCGGAUCUGUAAGUCAGUGGUGAAAUCUCACAGCUUAACUGUGAAACUGCCAUUGAUACUGCAGGUCUUGAGUAAAUUUGAAGUGGCUGGAAUAAGUAGUGUAGCGGUGAAAUGCAUAGAUAUUACUUAGAACACCAAUUGCGAAGGCAGGUCACUAAGAUUUAACUGACGCUGAUGGACGAAAGCGUGGGGAGCGAACAGGAUUAGAUACCCGGGUAGUCCCUGUCUCUUAUAA
rnacentral:rRNA from 1 species